ACGCUCGACACCUACGGGGGGCAGCAGUGGGGGAUAUUGCACAAUGGAGGAAACUCUGAUGCAGCGACGCCGCGUGAGGGAAGACGGUUUUCGGAUUGUAAACCUCUGUCUUCAGGGACGAAAUGAAUGACGGUACCUGAGGAGGAAGCUCCGGCUAACUACGUGCCAGCAGUCGCGGUAAUCUGAGCGGGCUGGCAAGGC
rnacentral:rRNA from 1 species